UGAUUUCAACAUUAUGGAUUCUAUGUGCUUUGCUUUUCAUCACAAAAGCGGAGCAUUUGGUUUGGCCUACUUCGGAAAACAACCCAGAUUGCCCUCAGUGUAAGUUCUUCAGCCAACCUGGAGCUAACUUCAGUUCUGUAAUCAUGGUGGACGGGAAGCUGGUUGUAGGAGCUAAGAACGCACUCUACUACCUGGACUUCACGCAGGAAACAGUCGGCUAUUUCCCAGACGAGACCGUUCCACCCGCUAAUUUCGAUGUGUGUACCAACUCGUACGGACAGAAUCAGGACGACUGCCAGAACUAUUUUAAGGUUAUUUUAAAACUGAGAAACCAGGAUCUCUUUAUCUGCGGUACUGA